GAUGAACGCUAGCGGCAGGCCUAACACAUGCAAGUCGAGGGGUAGAAUUAGCUUGCUAAUUUGAGACCGGCGCACGGGUGCGUAACGCGUAUGCAUUCUACCUUGUACAGGGGGAUAGCCCAGAGAAAUUUGGAUUAAUACCCCAUGGUAUAAUUAAUUUGCAUGAAUUGAUUAUUAAAGUUCCAACGGUACAAGAUGAGCAUGCGUCCCAUUAGCUAGUUGGUGUGGUAACGGCAUACCAAGGCGACGAUGGGUAGGGGUCCUGAGAGGGAGAUCCCCCACACUGGUACUGAGACACGGACCAGACUCCUACGGGAGGCAGCAGUGAGGAAUAUUGGUCAAUGGUCGGAAGACUGAACCAGCCAUGCCGCGUGCAGGAAGAAGCAUCUAUGGUGUGUAAACUGCUUUUGUACGGGAAGAAACACUCCUACGUGUAGGAGCUUGACGGUACCGUAAGAAUAAGGAUCGGCUAACUCCGUGCCAGCAGCCGCCGUAAUAC
rnacentral:rRNA from 1 species